rnacentral:misc_RNA from 1 species
UAAGAGUAGAGAUAAGGGGAGGCUAGGAGGGGUUGUAAAUAGUAUAACCAACCCCUCUAACUCCCCCUUGUAUUGACUAUGUCGAUCUCAGGAUAAUAAUGAUAAAGGGGGAGAACCAUUCUUUGUCGCUGUAACAACAGUGUUCGAAACUAGAUACUAUACGCUAGCGCUAACUAGACCGCUUCGCUCCUAUAAGAGCAAAAAGCGAGGACUCAGGGUUCAGGUUUCAGGAAGAGCAAAAAGAAACCGAACUCAGCUCUCGCUCUUCCUG